rnacentral:lncRNA from 1 species
GGCUCAAAAGCUCCAUAGCAAAAUUUUGAUCUAAGGAUGAAGAAAAAAGAAAGUCAAAAAAAGCAAAAACUUAAAAAUAACAUUUUAUAAUUGGUAGAUUUGGGGUGAAUUCGAUUUAGAAAGGAAGUGUUCCUUACAAAUAGAAAUCAAGAAUCAAACCCGAUUCUUUCGCUAUAUUUGAAGUCAGCCCUAGGCCAGAUCCAACUAUGGCACUGAGCAAAGCUGAAAAACUACCCCAAGAAAUCAUAGUUGACAUACUAUCCCGGCUUCCUGCAAAAUCCAUAGGUCAAUUCAGGUGUAUAUCAAAGCAGUGGUGCUCCCUUCUAUCAGACCCCCAAUUCAUCUCAGCUCACCUCACUAUAAAUUACCACAAAGAAGAGAAAAUUCUCUUCUAUCAGACCCCCAAUUCAUCUCAGCUCACCUCACUAUAAAUUCCCACAAAAGAGAAGAAAACCUCAUUCUUGUUUCUGAUUGUCACUCUCUUCACACUAUCACUUUUAACCACAACCUCCAAAAUGGAACAAUUGAUGCCAUUUCAAGAAAGCUUAAUUUUCAGCAACU